rnacentral:lncRNA from 1 species
AAUAAUGAUGGACCAACAGAACACUGAGUGAUGAAAAUGAGGGGUCAAUAUGAUGAAGCCAAAUGCUUUUCUUCUAAGAAACAAAGGUCACAGCUCUAAUAUUUGUCUUUGAGAAUCUGCAGCAACAACCAGUCUCUUCACAAAUUUGCAGCUCUUGUCUCUCUGCUUCUGCUGAGCCAUGGUGGGUUAACUGAUGUGAACAAGCUUAAAUUUUUGAUACUCCAAUCAGAUCCUAGGAUCAUACGAUCUUAAUUCAAUUCGUACCUUAAAGUAGUUGUAAAUCAAGAAUUUGAACUUAAAAAUUAGUAAACUCUAAAAUGAAAAGGUGAAUACUUCAAUUGAUGCCAAAUAGUUAGUUUUUCAAUUUGAAAAGAUGUCAGUUAGAAAGAUAAAUAGAGCUAGCACUUGCUAUAAGGGAUUCUUACUAUAGGUGUUGGAGUCAGUCUGUCUGAGUUUGUAGUUGCUUCUAUAUCAACAUUAAUUCCUCAAGUAAGGGAAACAUUGUUUGAGUUCUUCGUCUGAUUAUGUGCUGCAUUAGCCACAGAACUAGUUUUUCCUCCAUGAGGUAAAAUUUUGGUGGGGUUUUCAGGUCUGUGCAGCUGCUGAGGAGUUUCCGCGGCAGUUGCACUGUUAACUAAGCAGGGGCAAGAGACUGAAGAUGUGAUAAAGUGAGCAUUUUUGGACCAUAGUAUUAACGGCAUGGGAGUUUUUGGAUCAAAGUACUGUCAGGAGUGAUGUUUUUAUUCAAUUUCGCUUAGUUUAAGGACAUUUUUGAACUUUUAUCCUUUUUUU